AGUCGAGGGGUAUAGUUCUUCGGAACUAGAGACCGGCGCACGGGUGCGUAACGCGUAUGCAAUCUACCUUUUACAGAGGGAUAGCCCAGAGAAAUUUGGAUUAAUACCUCAUAGUAUAGAUCAACCGCAUGGUUGGCCUAUUAAAGUCACAACGGUAAAAGAUGAGCAUGCGUCCCAUUAGCUAGUUGGUAAGGUAACGGCUUACCAAG
rnacentral:rRNA from 1 species